UACGUAGGGUGCAAGCGUUGUCCGGAAUUAUUGGGCGUAAAGAGCUCGUAGGCGGUUUGUCGCGUCUGCUGUGAAAACUCGGGGCUUAACCCCGGGCCUGCAGUGGGUACGGGCAGACUAGAGUGCGGUAGGGGGGAAUGGAAUUCCUGGUGUAGCGGUGAAAUGCGCAGAUAUCAGGAGGAACACCGGUGGCGAAGGCGGGUGUCUGGGCCGUAACUGACGCUGAGGAGCGAAAGCGUGGGGAGCGAACAGG
rnacentral:rRNA from 1 species